UACGUAGGGGGCAAGCGUUGUCCGGAAUCAUUGGGCGUAAAGAGCGUGUAGGCGGCUCGGUAAGUCCGCUGUGAAAGUCCAGGGCUCAACCCUGGAAUGCCGGUGGAAACUGUCGAGCUCGAGUCCGGAAGAGGCGAGUGGAAUUCCUGGUGUAGCGGUGAAAUGCGCAGAUAUCAGGAGGAACACCGAUGGCGAAGGCAGCUCGCUGGGACGGUACUGACGCUGAGACGCGAAGGUCAGGGGAGCAAACGGG
rnacentral:rRNA from 1 species